rnacentral:rRNA from 1 species
AGAGUUUGAGUCCUGGCUCAGGAACGAACGGACUGGCGGCAUGGAUUAGGCAUGCAAGUCGAACGGAGUUAUUGAGAGCUUGCUUUUAAUAACUUAGUGGCGGACGGGUGAGUAACACGUGAGCAACCUGCCUUCAAGAGCGGAAUAGCUUCUGGAAACGGAUGGUAAUACCGCAUAACAUUACCGGACCGCAUGAUCUGGUAAUCAAAGAUUUAUCGCUUGAAGAUGGGCUCGCGUCUGAUUAGAUAGUUGGUGGGGUAACGGCCUACCAAGUCGACGAUCAGUAGCCGGACUGAGAGGUUGAACGGCCACAUUGGGACUGAGACACGGCCCAGACUCCUACGGGAGGCAGCAGUGGGGAAUAUUGCACAAUGGGCGCAAGCCUGAUGCAGCGAUGCCGCGUGGAGGAAGAAGGUUUUCGGAUUGUAAACUCCUUAUCUGAGGGACGAUAAUGACGGUACCUCAGGAGAAAGCUCCGGCUAACUACGUGCC